rnacentral:rRNA from 2 species
AAAUUGAAGAGUUUGAUCAUGGCUCAGAUUGAACGCUGGCGGCAGGCCUAACACAUGCAAGUCGAACGGUAACAGGAAGCAGCUUGCUGCUUUGCUGACGAGUGGCGGACGGGUGAGUAAUGUCUGGGAAACUGCCUGAUGGAGGGGGAUAACUACUGGAAACGGUGGCUAAUACCGCAUAAUGUCGCAAGACCAAAGAGGGGGACCUUCGGGCCUCUUGCCAU